CUUGUCCGUCUGUCCUUACAUUAAUUCCGUCCGUCUGUCUGUCCGUCUGUGUGCUCACGAGUUUUUUCCAUAAAUUGAUGCUAAAAUGUAGUUAGAGUCAUAUACGCCUGCUUUUUAGUGAUAUUCGUCAUCCCAUUUCUGAGAGUGUGGAGUGCAUUGAAUUCACCUACACAGAAAUCCUGUACGGUUGUCUGCAAGAGAUAUCUGGUAGCAUGACCAGUAGGUAAUAUUUUUAAGACUGAUCACAUAUGCAUGCGAAAUAUGUUUAAUUUAAGCCUCCACCAGAUGCGUCAGCAGGAUCUGGCCUAUUUAAAGAAUUCUCUAGUAGUAUUUAUUCAUCAAACUUAUUGGGGCAACAUACUAUAAUAUGAACCAAACGUUGAUUGAAAUGGUUAUCAAAAUUCGCAGCAUAUGUACGUAUGUAUGUAGGAAGCAAAUACCUAAAUGUAUUAAACAUUUAUUGAACCUGUGAAGUACAUACACACAUGUGGGCAUUAACAUAUUUAUACCGGCAUAAUCAUGGAUUUUCAUGGAUUUUCAUGGAGUCAGCCAAUCUUUCGUUUAUAUGUAUGUAUGUAAAUGCUUAUAUGUAAAAGCAGAGUAUUUAGUUCAUUCCAUUACAGAACCGCUAGCUUCCGGAUGAAUAUUAAUCCAGCAGGUUGCACUCAUAUAAAGAGACAAAUUCACGCAAAUCAGAAAAACAGUGUAACAAAACGAUCAAUAAAGGAGUUAUCGAAAAAUGGUCGUAUCAACUAAAGUCCUUAUUCCUUUGGUGAUUCUUCUAACCACAAACCUGAAACAUACAGCCGGUCAAUUUCCAACGGAAGGAAAUGGAGCCAAUGUCAUACGGGAAACUCCUAAAAACGGAUCCGAGUUAAUAGCAACUCCACCAUAUCGACCGGGUAAUACUGAUUGUAAUUUCUGUGGCGGAUUCACAAUGUCUUCAUGUAAUGACUUUUGCUACCAGAAAGGGUAUGAUUUCUACUAUUGUGACGCAUGUUAUUCCUGCUACUGUUAUGUCGAUUGUGAGACGAAGGGCUUCAUGUAUGUAAACUGUGUUUAACGAGAUAGAUAAUUUAUACCAUUCCAACAAAGUUUUAGCGUGCUCGUAAAUACUUUAAAUAAACCGUAGUAAAGUACUAUAAGAAGUAGCACUCGUGUAAAAAUGACUUGUAAAUAAUUUUGCACCAAUGUAGCAAAAAAACGAAGAAAAUACAUAAUUCUACAUAAUUUUGAAA